GAUGAACGCUGGCGGCGUGCUUAACACAUGCAAGUCGAACGGAAAGGCCCAAGCUUGCUUGGGUACUCGAGUGGCGAACGGGUGAGUAACACGUGGGUGAUCUGCCCUGCACUUCGGGAUAAGCCUGGGAAACUGGGUCUAAUACCGGAUAGGACCACUUCUUGGAUGUUGUGGUGGAAAGUUUUUUCGGUGUGGGAUGAGCUCGCGGCCUAUCAGCUUGUUGGUGGGGUAAUGGCCUACCAAGGCGUCGACGGGUAGCCGGCCUGAGAGGGUGUACGGCCACAUUGGGACUGAGAGACGGCCCAGACUCCUACGGGAGGCAGCAGUGGGGAAUAUUGCACAAUGGGCGCAAGCCUGAUGCAGCGACGCCGCGUGGGGGAUGACGGCCUUCGGGUUGUAAACUCCUUUCGCUAGGGACGAAGCGUUUUGUGACGGUACCUGGAGAAGAAGCACCGGCUAACUACGU
rnacentral:rRNA from 1 species